GACACAUGUCAGUCGAGCGCCCCGCAAGGGGAGCGGCAGACGGGUGAGUAACGCGUGGGAACGUACCUUUUGCUACGGAAUAACUCAGGGAAACUUGUGCUAAUACCGUAUGUGCCCUUCGGGGGAAAGAUUUAUCGGCAAAGGAUCGGCCCGCGUUGGAUUAGCUAGUUGGUGAGGUAAAGGCUCACCAAGGCGACGAUCCAUAGCUGGUCUGAGAGGAUGAUCAGCCACACUGGGACUGAGACACGGCCCAGACUCCUACGGGAGGCAGCAGUGGGGAAUAUUGGACAAUGGGCGCAAGCCUGAUCCAGCCAUGCCGCGUGAGUGAUGAAGGCCCUAGGGUUGUAAAGCUCUUUCACCGGUGAAGAUAAUGACGGUAACCGGAGAAGAAGCCCCGGCUAACUUCGUGCCAGCAGCGGGCGGGUAAUA
rnacentral:rRNA from 1 species